AUGAACGCUGGCGGCGUGCCUAAUACAUGCAAGUCGAGCGAACAGAUAAGGAGCUUGCUCCUUUGACGUUAGCGGCGGACGGGUGAGUAACACGUGGGUAACCUACCUAUAAGACUGGGAUAACUUCGGGAAACCGGAGCUAAUACCGGAUAAUAUUUCGAACCGCAUGGUUCGAUAGUGAAAGAUGGUUUUGCUAUCACUUAUAGAUGGACCCGCGCCGUAUUAGCUAGUUGGUAAGGUAACGGCUUACCAAGGCGACGAUACGUAGCCGACCUGAGAGGGUGAUCGGCCACACUGGAACUGAGACACGGUCCAGACUCCUACGGGAGGCAGCAGUAGGGAAUCUUCCGCAAUGGGCGAAGGCCUGACGGAGCAACGCCGCGUGAGUGAUGAAGGUCUUCGGAUCGUAAAACUCUGUUAUUAGGGAAGAACAUACGUGUAAGUAACUGUGCACGUCUUGACGGUACCUAAUCAGAAAGCCACGGCUAACUACGUG
rnacentral:rRNA from 1 species